rnacentral:lncRNA from 1 species
CCUGUCUGCAUCCCCUGCCGCCUCCCCAACGCCCCCACCAACCAUAGCGCACUCACCCGCAUCCUGUCCCUGCCUGUGUCCCUGUUCCUGCGUCACCGCUGCCAUCGCUGAUUAACUUUCUGUUUGCCUGCGUUAUCUGGACCAGGGCUCUGCCUUUCCAAAGAGCUCACACGUAAACGGAGAAGCAAAUAGUUAUCUAGGGUGGUGACAGACAUUGCUGAGAAGAAAAUGGAGCAGGACAAUGGAGUGGAGAGUGAUACAGAGAGGAAAAGAGAAAUGCAGGGCACCAUGGGGCUAGAUGAGGCGAUGACCCCCGAGUUUCACAGGAGGAGGUGGACCUGCGUGCAGGGAGGUGAAGCCCACACAGGAAGCACCGCUAGAGUGGGCACCGGGCACUGCUUUGGCGACCUUUGUGUCCCUGCCUUUUGCUGUGUUGCCCCAUAGCCUCCUUGCUUGCAAAGGGUGUGAGGCACUUGUGUCCAGAAGGCAGUGAGGACAACGAGGGACCGAGCAGAAUGCAAGGAGCCCCUUUGUGUUCCCACCUCAAGGCUCCCUUCCCACGAGGUCCCCCAGUGCUCACCGGGGCUUCUCCAGUGACAGCCGAGGACUACCGGGGUCAGGCAUGGCUGCUUUAAGGGACACUGCGCCAGAAAAAGGGAGUGAGGUGGAAGAAUUCCUUUUCUUCCUUUGCGUUGUUGAAGAGUGAAAGCACAGGUCUCAUUUUCUAUGCAAGUCCACCAGAACCAGUGGUGCUGACAAGGAGCUGACCCUUCACGGCCAUGCUGGGUCCAGUUCCCUCCAAGGGACCAUCGCCAUCCUGGCAAGGCUCGGGGGCUGGGAUGGGGAGGCCCUGCUCCGGGUCCCUGGGAGACAGACUCCUUCCCACACCCACACCCAGACUCCUCCUCCGAUACCUCCCUCACCGCAUCCCCAUUGCGGGUCCCUGGGGCCCAGCAACUUUGGGGGCUGCUUCCUCUUGCCUGGCCCUGGCAGCUUUAUUUCAAACUGAGGCGCGAUUACAGAUCCAGUUCUUUUUUCCUUUUCCUUUUCAAUAAAGCUGUUUUGUGUCUCCACCGCCCCCCUCUGCUGCAUUCCUCCCAUCUGAGUCGUCCCCUUGCCCCUCCUGUAG